UGAAACAUCGGUUCUCGUACGAUCACUGAAGUUAAGCAACGUUGAGACCCGGUAGUACCUACAUGGGUGACCACUUGGGUAUACGAGGUGCCGUAA